rnacentral:lncRNA from 1 species
AGACUUGUAGACCUUUAGUAGUGCGUUAACUAGUAGUCCCAAGACAGAAGAAGAAAAGAAGUCAAGCAAGCACAAAAGGCUUAAAGGGAUUCUUAAGUGACUCGUGAUCAAGAAAGUGACACAGCACCCUCGCCUCAGAGGGAAAGAAAGCGAUUACACUAAUGCUAAUUCAUAAGGGCAAGGAAGUGAAACGAAGAAAGCUACCCAUUCUCAACAAGAGUCCAGACAUAAAAACGAGUAUGACCAGGCUUUAAAAAAGAGACCCGUUCCCACCGGUAUUGACUACAAAGAUACAGCUUAACAAUAGAGGAUGCCAAGAAACCCUAAUUACAUUACACUGAUAUGACACAGAGAAUAGAGAGAACCCUCUUAUUCAAUGGUCGUUGCUGGACCGAUAAGAAGAGGAAUAGACGAAUAAGAAAGAUCACCGUAGGGACUAAUUUCUCACUCAUAAUUGAGCUUAAUGGUUUAUUCAUUUUCUUAUUUACCGACCGCUAGAUUUAUAAGAGAGAGGCACCAAACCCGGGCUUAUAACAAGGUAGAAACGGAGCGAAGAAAACCAAUCAUCUCACCGUAAGGAGAAUUACAGAACGAGGCACCGAUACCCAGAGGCAAGUGAGGCUAAGGAAAGAGAACCAGCUUAAAAGAGAGGCGGUUAUUCACUUCUACGGGUACGGGAGGAAGGGCGCUCCUGCCAAAAGUCUACUUAUACUUAUAAAGAAAAUGAAAGCCAACGAGCGAAGUGCCCGAAGCGAGUCUAAAGAAGUGAAAGCGAGACUUGCGAAAGUAUCCGCCGCUUACCCUGGACCGGUCAC